GACAGAGGGUGCAAACGUUGUUCGGAAUUACUGGGCGUAAAGCGCGCGCAGGCGGUUGUGCAAGACCGAUGUGAAAUCCCCGGGCUUAACCUCGGGAAUUGCAUUUGUGACUGCAUCGCUGGAGUGCGGCAGAGGGGAUGGAAUCCGGCGUGUAGCAGUGAAAUGCGUAGAUAUGCGGAGGAACACCGAUGGCGAAGGCAAUCCCCUGGGCCUGCACUGACGCUCAUGCACGAAAGCGUGGGAGCAAACAGG
rnacentral:rRNA from 1 species